rnacentral:rRNA from 1 species
ACACUGGAACUGAGACACGGUCCAGACUCCUACGGGAGGCAGCAGUGGGGAAUUUUGGACAAUGGGCGCAAGCCUGAUCCAGCAAUACCGCGUGAAGGAUGACGGCCCUUGGGUUGUAAACUUCUUUUAUAUGUGAAGAUUAUGACGGUAACAUAUGAAUAAGCAUCGGCUAACUACGUGCCAGCAGCCGCGGUAAUACGUAGGAUGCAAGCGUUAUCCGGAAUUAUUGGGCGUAAAGAGUGUGUAGGUGGCGUGUUAAGUUAAAUGUUAAAUCCCGGGGCUCAACUCAGGGGCUGCAUUUAAUACUGGCAUGCUUGAGGUAUGGAGAGGUAAGCGGAAUUAGUAGUGUAGCAGUGAAAUGCGUAGAUAUUACUAGGAACACCAAUGGCGAAGGCAGCUUACUGGCCAUAUUCUGACGCUGAGACACGAAAGCGUGGGGAGCGAACGGGAUUAGAUACCCCGGUAGUCCACGCCGUAAACGAUG